ACACAGCGAUACCUGAGCGAGUCUUUCUGAUCUUGUGUUUCCACAACACAGCCCGGCGACCGCAUCCCGUGUCACGCACACACGCGACUUAGCUAGGGGCGGACAAAAGGUCGGAUUUUUGUCCGAGUCCUCCAGGAGGUCAGAGGUAUGACCGCACCGAGGGUCACAACGGCGUGACACCCGGUCUCGGUGGUAAACUCCAAACACCCGGCCGAGAAAGAUCUCGCUUGAAACGGAUGUCUUUGACAAUCCUGCUCGUACGUCUGUGAAUGUUCCAAGGCCGAUCCAGAACCAGGUGGCUGGGUCGGGCCGAGUGGAGUAACCUGAUGACCUUCUCCCCAGCAAAGCACUCCAGCUCCUCUCGGGGACCCCACAGGCAUUCCAAAGCCAGAUGGGCUCCGAAAUCCCUCCCCUCGGUUUCUUCUAGUCCACCACUUGGGGCGCAUCUCGCUCAGAGACAACAUCAUCUUGCCUUGACGUGCGGACUUAACCUCACCUUAUCUGCAUGCUUCUUGGUCACUGCAGCAAGGCUGAGGUUUAGGAUUGAAAUCAGCUGCUCCGUUUAUUGUUACCCACAAUGACGACAGAACCACAGUCACCAAAGUUUCUUACUUAAAGGGGAACAUUAUCACAACUUCUGAAUGGUUAAAAUCAAUAAAAAUCAGUUCCCAGUGGCUUAUUUUA